GUCCAACAGCAUUUUCAAUCAUGUGGAACAGUGAAUAGAGUGACAAUUUUGACGGACAAAUUUGGUCACCCCAAGGGAUUUGCUUAUGUUGAGUUCGUGGAGGUUGAUGCUGUCCAGAAUGCUUUGCUGUUAAAUGAGUCAGAGUUGCAUGGUCGUCAACUAAAGGUCUCUGCUAAAAGGACGAAUGUGCCUGGCAUGAAGCAAUACCGAGGAAGGAGGCCAAACCCUUUUGGCUUUCGAGGUCGCCGGCCUUUCAUGCCUGCUGCACCUUAUCCUUCGUAUGGUUAUGGAAGGGUUCCAAGG
rnacentral:misc_RNA from 1 species